UUAAGCGACUAAGCGUACACGGUGGAUGCCCUGGCAGUCAGAGGCGAUGAAGGACGUGCUAAUCUGCGAAAAGCGUCGGUAAGGUGAUAUGAACCGUUAUAACCGGCGAUGUCCGAAUGGGGAAACCCAGUGCAAUUCGUUGCACUAUCGUUAACUGAAUACAUAGGUUAACGAGGCGAACCGGGGGAACUGAAACAUCUAAGUACCCCGAGGAAAAGAAAUCAACCGAGAUUCCCCCAGUAGCGGCGAGCGAACGGGGAGCAGCCCAGAGUCUGAAUCAGCUUGUGUGUUAGUGGAACGGUCUGGAAAGUCCGACGGUACAGGGUGAUAGUCCCGUACACCAAAAUGCACAGGCUGUGAACUCGAAGAGUAGGGCGGGACACGUGGUAUCCUGUCUGAAUAUGGGGGGACCAUCCUCCAAGGCUAAAUACUCCUGACUGACCGAUAGUGAACCAGUACCGUGAGGGAAAGGCGAAAAGAACCCCGGCGAGGGGAGUGAAAAAGAACCUGAAACCGUGUACGUACAAGCAGUGGGAGCACCUUCGGGUGUGACUGCGUACCUUUUGUAUAAUGGGUCAGCGACUUAUAUUCUGUAGCAAGGUUAACCGUAUAGGGGAGCCGCAGGGAAACCGAGUCUUAACUGGGCGUUAAGUUGCAGGGUAUAGACCCGAAACCCGGUGAUCUAGCCAUGGGCAGGUUGAAGGUUGGGUAACACUAACUGGAGGACCGAACCGACUAAUGUUGAAAAAUUAGCGGAUGACUUGUGGCUGGGGGUGAAAGGCCAAUCAAACCGGGAGAUAGCUGGUUCUCCCCGAAAGCUAUUUAGGUAGCGCCUCGUGAAUUCAUCUUCGGGGGUAGAGCACUGUUUCGGCUAGGGGGUCAUCCCGACUUACCAACCCGAUGCAAACUACGAAUACCGAAGAAUGUUAUCACGGGAGACACACGGCGGGUGCUAACGUCCGUCGUGAAGAGGGAAACAACCCAGACCGCCAGCUAAGGUCCCAAAGUCAUGGUUAAGUGGGAAACGAUGUGGGAAGGCACAGACAGCCAGGAUGUUGGCUUAGAAGCAGCCAUCAUUUAAAGAAAGCGUAAUAGCUCACUGGUCGAGUCGGCCUGCGCGGAAGAUGUAACGGGGCUAAACCAUGCACCGAAGCUGCGGCAGCGACACUAUGUGUUGUUGGGUAGGGGAGCGUUCUGUAAGCCUGCGAAGGUGUGCUGUGAGGCAUGCUGGAGGUAUCAGAAGUGCGAAUGCUGACAUAAGUAACGAUAAAGCGGGUGAAAAGCCCGCUCGCCGGAAGACCAAGGGUUCCUGUCCAACGUUAAUCGGGGCAGGGUGAGUCGACCCCUAAGGCGAGGCCGAAAGGCGUAGUCGAUGGGAAACAGGUUAAUAUUCCUGUACUUGGUGUUACUGCGAAGGGGGGACGGAGAAGGCUAUGUUAGCCGGGCGACGGUUGUCCCGGUUUAAGCAUGUAGGCUGAUUGUCCAGGCAAAUCCGGAUAAUCAAGGCUGAGGUGUGAUGACGAGGCACUACGGUGCUGAAGUAACAAAUGCCCUGCUUCCAGGAAAAGCCUCUAAGCAUCAGGUAACAUUAAAUCGUACCCCAAACCGACACAGGUGGUCAGGUAGAGAAUACCAAGGCGCUUGAGAGAACUCGGGUGAAGGAACUAGGCAAAAUGGUGCCGUAACUUCGGGAGAAGGCACGCUGGUGUGUAGGUGAAGUCCCUGCGGAUGGAGCUGAGACCAGUCGAAGAUACCAGCUGGCUGCAACUGUUUAUUAAAAACACAGCACUGUGCAAACACGAAAGUGGACGUAUACGGUGUGACGCCUGCCCGGUGCCGGAAGGUUAAUUGAUGGGGUUAUCCGUAAGGAGAAGCUCUUGAUCGAAGCCCCGGUAAACGGCGGCCGUAACUAUAACGGUCCUAAGGUAGCGAAAUUCCUUGUCGGGUAAGUUCCGACCUGCACGAAUGGCGUAAUGAUGGCCAGGCUGUCUCCACCCGAGACUCAGUGAAAUUGAACUCGCUGUGAAGAUGCAGUGUACCCGCGGCAAGACGGAAAGACCCCGUGAACCUUUACUAUAGCUUGACACUGAACAUUGAGCCUUGAUGUGUAGGAUAGGUGGGAGGCUUUGAAGCGUGGACGCCAGUCUGCGUGGAGCCAACCUUGAAAUACCACCCUUUAAUGUUUGAUGUUCUAACGUUGGCCCCUUAUCGGGGUUGCGGACAGUGUCUGGUGGGUAGUUUGACUGGGGCGGUCUCCUCCCAAAGCGUAACGGAGGAGCACGAAGGUUAGCUAAUCCUGGUCGGACAUCAGGAGGUUAGUGCAAUGGCAUAAGCUAGCUUGACUGCGAGCGUGACGGCGCGAGCAGGUGCGAAAGCAGGUCAUAGUGAUCCGGUGGUUCUGAAUGGAAGGGCCAUCGCUCAACGGAUAAAAGGUACUCCGGGGAUAACAGGCUGAUACCGCCCAAGAGUUCAUAUCGACGGCGGUGUUUGGCACCUCGAUGUCGGCUCAUCACAUCCUGGGGCUGAAGUAGGUCCCAAGGGUAUGGCUGUUCGCCAUUUAAAGUGGUACGCGAGCUGGGUUUAGAACGUCGUGAGACAGUUCGGUCCCUAUCUGCCGUGGGCGCUGGAGAAUUGAGGGGGGCUGCUCCUAGUACGAGAGGACCGGAGUGGACGCAUCACUGGUGUUCGGGUUGUCAUGCCAAUGGCACUGCCCGGUAGCUAAAUGCGGAAGAGAUAAGUGCUGAAAGCAUCUAAGCACGAAACUUGCCCCGAGAUGAGUUCUCCCUGAGACUUUAAGUCUCCUGAAGGAACGUUGAAGACGACGACGUUGAUAGGCCGGGUGUGUAAGCGCAGCGAUGCGUUGAGCUAACCGGUACUAAUGAACCGUGAGGCUUAACCUU
rnacentral:rRNA from 1 species